GAGAAACUACAUGAUCUAACUUCCAUUAUGGCUGUGCAUGCGUGAAUACUUGAGAGAAAUCUGUCUAAUAUAAUACCAAACACUACUUGAUAUAAAGCCUACGAAAAGACAAUUAACUGGGAGCUAAAUUGGCGAAAAAUUCCUCAAAUCUCCAGAACGCGUGGAUUAUAAAAGCGGUGGUUAUAAAUUAAUUCUUAUCCCAACCUUAACAUUAUAAAAAUUAAUUUGAAGAUGAGCUGCGCUUGAAUGCAGGGGAACACUGUGACAUUGAUGACGAAGCCAAUUGAUGUUCAUAUACCAUAACAAGCAUUGCAGCUACCUUGGAAUCACUAUAAACAAUAUUACAUGAUAUAUAUGCUGUCUGCAAAUACAGAUGUAUGUUAUUUUCAUCAGACAUCAACGCACAGUAGCUAGCAUGACCCUGAUCACAUUGAGAUACAGAGGGCUUGCCCCGCAUUGGAUAUGAUGACAGAUACUAUAUAUAUUCAAGACUGUGUGGUGGGAUUAAAGAUCACUGAACAAGAACCAGUCGUCUGGAGCAGACAACGCAGGAAAACUUCCUCUUGACUUUGUGGGAGAUUGGGAUGAAACAGAAGUAUAAAUGUGAGUCAUAAUCCAUUGCCAUCACUGGCCCUCCACUGCAUGGACAUAGUGAUCUUGCCUCUUCUUUUCUUGUCAACUUGUCUCGGACAUCAAAUAUUUGCAUCGCCCCCAUUUUUUAUUUCAAACCAAUUUUACCUUCCCAAGUGGAUUUGGCCUAAGUUUUGCCAUGUCUGGUAUAUAUAUAUAGAGAAACAUUCAAAAUGAACUGAGGAAUUGCCAGGAAGUUGCCAUGCAAGUUCGCAAGCC
rnacentral:lncRNA from 1 species